GGGGAAUAUUGCACAAUGGGCGAAAGCCUGAUGCAGCGAUGCCGCGUGAGGGAAGAAGGUCUUCGGAUUGUAAACCUCUGUUUUCAGGGACGAUAAUGACGGUACCUGAGGAGGAAGCUCCGGCUAACUACGUGCCAGCAGCCGCGGUAAUACGUAGGGAGCGAGCGUUGUCCGGAAUUACUGGGUGUAAAGGGAGUGUAGGCGGGAAAACAAGUCAGAUGUGAAAACUAUGGGCUCAACCUGUAGACUGCAUUUGAAACUAUUUUUCUUGAGUGAAGUAGAGGUAAGCGGAAUUCCUAGUGUAGCGGUGAAAUGCGUAGAUAUUAGGAGGAACAUCAGUGGCGAAGGCGGCUUACUGGGCUUUUACUGACGCUGAGGCUCGAAAGCGUGGGGAGCAAAC
rnacentral:rRNA from 1 species